AUCUUCAGACUCCAGUUGAGAUCUCCAAGGACGAUCAUCGAGAGCUGUGUAUGAGGCAGCUUCUGGGACUGGUCAGAGAAGCUAGGAUUAGGCCUUUUAGGUACGUUGCUGAUGACCCUUCCAAGUAUUUCGCCAUUGCUGAGGCUGUUGGCAGUGUUGACAUGCCGCUCGGUAUCAAGAUAGGGGUUCAGUACAGGAAAAAGAAAAGGCUAAGGUGUCUUAACAAAAAAGAAAAUGAAAGCCACGCAGGAAUGGGAACACAAAAUGUAUCACAAAUGCCUGAAGAGUGGUGGUUUUUCUGGGACAUAUUAUUGCUGGGACUAAUAAGAAGACUUGGGAGUAGUUGCAUUUUACAUUGAGGUCAUCAAUUUAUGGGUUUUCAAUAUAAUCAAAGUUUUUGGUCUUAUAGGUGAUAAGAACGCUAAUGUUUUUGGAUAGAAACAUUUGAACAAUAAUAGAUUAUGGUGCUGCUGCUGUUUGAGGAAGCUGUUAAAGGAACUCAUUGUUGUCGAUAUCAUUAAGCAAUUGUGGUUCUGCUACUGUUGGGAAAAUUGUAAAACACAUGCUGCUGUUGGGAAAAUUGUGGUGUUGUUGCUGUUGGGAAAGAAUCGAAUUGUUUGAGGGAUUUAACCCAUGUUAACCAGGUAAUUUGAUUUCUCUUUCUUUCCCUUUCUCUAUAUCUCUAUUUCUUUUUGGCUCUCCUUUCUGGAAUAGCUAUGCUCACAUUUUCUACCAAAAAAAGAAAAAAGAGUAUGAAGAGUAAUUGAGUUAUUGAGUAAAAAAGAAGAGUAAUUGAGUAAUUGUAUGUGAAGUCUGACUUCUUCCAUGAUUUUUUUUUUUUGAAGUGUUGGUACUGUGAAAUGUUCUAUUUUGGGGUUGGAAUUGGAUUGUUUUACUUUGAAGCUUUUGGGUGGGGCUGUUGGCAAAAUUGAGGGUUUAGUUGAAGUGCUGGUAAAUUGGUGUUGCUGAAGUGCUGAAUUUGGAGUUUAUUUGGGUUUCUAAUAAAUUGGUGUUUCAUUUGAGUUUCAUAGAAUUUUGUUUCUUCCUGUGAAUUCACUCCUUACUCUUUCAAAAGAAAAAAAAAAUUGUGCUGUGUUGUGUGACUCUUUUGGGUGUCUGUCCACUUCAGAUUUCUUUUGCUGUGUUUCUUUACAUGUUUGUACAAACUGUUUUUUUUUUUUUAAUGUUAUAAAACUUGCAGCUUUCUUGCUAUUUUGAGGUUAUAAAAAUAUAUAAGCCUUUGGUUGGAUUGUAAGGGUUGUGAAAAGAAUGGAAAUGACACAACACAUCACAUUGGUUUACUGUAUGUAAAGGCAUUACUAUCAUGGACAUAAACUGUAAGCUAUGAGAUUGAGGCCCUUGAUCACCCAUUUUGAUUUAUUUUAAUUCAUUUUGGACCAUAAUGCAUCUUGCAAGUAGUCUGUAGUUUAUGGAAAAUUUUACUUUCCUGUAUGAUCCAAAGGUUUAGUCAUGGAAUUCUUAGGGUUUGUUUAGAAUUUCUUGGGUUGUGUCUGUUUGUUUUGCCUCUCCCCUUCUCUCUCUAUUUGAUUACUAACUAUUAAACCUAUUUUGCUAUCAGUUUCUUCAUUUUCAUUUUGGUUGUUUUAGGAUUCGUUUGAGAGUGGAAUGAACAAGAGCCUAAUUUCCUCAUGCUACGAACAAUUAAUCAAGCUGUUAUGUGCUUGAAUGUUUUUGUUGUUUUAUUUUAUUUAAAUUUUGUCCUUCACAAACUUCAAUUACAUUUUGAUCCUAACAUUAUUUACAAUGUUGCUUCAGUUGCCU